rnacentral:lncRNA from 1 species
UUUAACAGUCCAGGUGUCAAGGGCAAAGGGACCCAAUCCGGCAGAAGACAAAGAUCCUAUAUUUGAACGUGGCUCUACCACAACCUACUCAAGCUUUAGGAAGGGCAGCUACACCAAACCCUGGUCCAGCGGAGAUCAGACGUCAGUCAAAACGCACCUCUUAAUCCAACAUGUGUUAUACAUUUCAUUUAUAUAGGAUCCUUUCUUUGACUAUUCCAGAGACUGAAAUGUUUUACUUGGCCAUCAGCAUGGUGGGGACAGACUUCUCCAUGACUGGUCAGCUGUUUCCACACCGAGCUCGAAAAGAGAUUAAGUAUGUAAUGAGAUCAACAAUCAAGCGGCCCUUACUCUUCUGACCAUCGGGAACCCAGCUCAGAUGAUCCAGACAUCAGAAAUGCCCUGUACAAGUGGAAAUGAUAUUGUUGUACAUGAAGAGGUCGUCCAUGAGGAAGAUAUCACAGAAACAGCCAUCAUGUCUAGUUCUUCUGUAAGCUGUGAGUCUGAGACAAAAGGUGACGUUGAAUUUUCGAACUGUGAAACUCAUAUUCCAGAACCUUCUGCUGAAGAAACCAUCAUCCAGAAAGAAGAACCAAUCAAAUUACAGACAACUGAUCUCAUCCUGCUCCCAUUCAACAUGAUACACAGUCUCCACCAAGUAAAAGAGGACGAUACUCCAAACCCAAACCCAAUAUUAGUCAGUGUUUGAGAACCAGAUGAGCUCCACAGCAGCAGAUCUCUCCAGAACUUGUCACAGGUUCUUUGGGGACCUCUAAGUGUCCGUCUUCCACAGAACAGGAUAAAAAUCCAAUGCAAGAAGAUUGUGUUCCUGUGGAUCACCUGCCAGAUUCCUUUACCAUCCGCCCUGAGGUACUACAGCCGGAUAUAUCAUCUGAAACAAGAGAUGUCAUUCCUGAAAGAGUGACUAAAGAAGAUAAUAGAUCCGUUUCAUCUUUGAAGAGAAAGGAUGAUGAUAUAAUCACAGAGGAAGAUAUAAAAGAACAAGAAGGGUUGGGAUCAGAACCACAGCUGACUAAAAGUGUGAACGAGUCUCAGAGCACAUCAGUUGAGUCCUCUAAACCUGUCAGGAGGCACUGUAGACUCAAACCUCAACCAAACCUGACUCAGACAUCCAGACGCAGCAGCACAUCAACCACAGCAGGCUUCCAUGAACACUUUCACUGA